rnacentral:rRNA from 1 species
GAGUUUGAUCCUGGCUCAGAUUGAACGCUAGCGGCAGGCCUAAUACAUGCAAGUCGAGGGGCAGCAGGGAUAGCAAUAUUCGCUGGCGACCGGCGCACGGGUGCGUAACACGUAUACAAUCUGCCUUUAACAGGGGGAUAGCCCGGAGAAAUCCGGAUUAAUACCCCAUAACAGAUCGAAUGGCAUCAUUUGAUUUUGAAAGCUCCGGCGGUUAAAGAUGAGUAUGCGUCUGAUUAGCUAGUUGGUGAGGUAACGGCUCACCAAGGCGACGAUCAGUAGGGGAUCUGAGAGGAUUAACCCCCACACGGAUACUGAGACACGGAUCCGACUCCUACGGGAGGCAGCAGUAAGGAAUAUUGGACAAUGCCCGCAAGGGUGAUCCAGCCAUGCCGCGUGCAGGAAGACGGCCCUAUGGGUUGUAAACUGCUUUUACACCGGAGAAAACCUUCCCUCGUGAGGGGAGCUGAUAGUAUGGUGAGAAUAAGCAUCGGCUAACUUCGUGCCAGC